rnacentral:misc_RNA from 1 species
GAUGAAGAACGUAGCGAAAUGCGAUAAGUAAUGUGAAUUGCAGAAUUCAGUGAAUCAUCGAAUCUUUGAACGCACCUUGCGCCCUUUGGCUAUUCUGAAGGGCAUGCCUGUUUGAGUAUCGUGAACACCUCAACUCUCAUGGUCUGCCAUGAUGAGCUUGGACUUUGGGGGUCUUGCUGGCCUACUGUCAGCUCCUCUCAAAUGAAUCAGCUUACCAGUGUUUGGUGGCACCACAGGUGUGAUAACUAUCUACGCUUGUGGUUUUCUGCCAGGUAACCUCCAGUGAUGGAGGUUCGCUGGAGCUCACAAAUGUCUCUCCUCAGCGAGGACAGCUUUUUGAACGUUUGAUCUCAAAUCAGGUAGGACUACCCGCUGAACUUAAGCAUAUCAAUAAGCGGAGGA